AAGCCUGAAUUACACAGUGGAAAUUGUUACUGGCAAAGAGUAUCAAUAGCUCUGAGACUGCGGGUACGUAUCUACCUAUCUACCUGCCAACCUCCUACAUGUAAUCCAGGUACUACGCCCCAUCCAGUGAGCAACUUCAGCAUCGUCUACAUGGCACAGCGGCAAUGCCUAAUAACCAAGUAUCAUCCGAGAAGUACGUAGCUGAGAAUUUCUACGAUUCCAGAUCCGAUCUGGGAUCUAAUGUGGGCCAGCCACGCGAACCUAUCAUAACCUGGGCCAACGCGAGGUCUAACCACAUGUUUGCCCACGUAACCUCUUCCCGGCUCGGCAAGCAGGACACAGAGUCCAGCUAACGAAACAACACCGAAAACCAGGUAGCAGUCCCGUACUGGAUGAUCAGGAUCAAGCUGGGACUUUGCCCUGGACCAAAUACGUAUCCUUAACCACCCACAGGACUUCUUCGGUACCGACCAGCACCUACCCUCUAAUGAUCGAAGAGGCUGGCUCCGCCUAUGGGCACUUUAUAUGCACUGUGAAUAUUUACACCUCCUCAUCCAGGAUCUGAUCAAUGCCGUGUCCGUAUCCUUGGGAAACUACAGGGACGCUGAUGCAUCCUGCUCCGGAGUAAUAAUGGAAUGCACCUGUGACUUCCUGCUAAAAACAAACAAGAUCAGCCUGCGAAUGCAGAGGGAGAUCUUCUCGUUCCUGGAUGCUGUGAUCCUGGGGAUCCUGGAGAUUGAACGCCCGCGCGCGAUCCAUUACCUACCUGCGCAUAUUGCAAUGGCCUUUACUUUACAAAGUGCAACAAGCUUCGAGAAUUCCACGGCGCCGCUUCCUCUACCUCGUCAUCUUCAUUCCCAGCCGUCUGUCUACCGAGUAAUGGUCUUUUCACAUUCGCCACUGGCUAAUGGAUCACCGUUCCGUUUUACACGCUUGUGCUUCGUUGCUCACUACCUUUGACACGUGGAACAAGAUCUUAGCUGAUUAUUUUCCACGAGUCUGCGUUAUACAGGCCCUUUCAAAUUUUAUUUAUCGGUGCGACCGUCAUAUUUAUCUCUGACCAGCUUCCUUUUACGGAGCUCGGUAUACCCUUACAAAUUAAAUCUUGUAUGAUAUAACGUGUCUGGAUACCUAAUAAGU